UUGAAGUAGUAGAAGCUUUUCCAUUCAGUGAUGUCUGGCCAGAGAAGCUCCACAACAGGUUUGAAGUUAACAGAGAAUGAGAUUAAUGAUCUUGUGUCAAGGUUGCAAGUACUUCUGCCACAUCUGAACCAAAGAACCAACUCAAAGCAUUCAUUGUCAAAGAUCUUGCAAGAAACUUGCAGUCACAUUAGGAGGCUGCAGAAAGAAGUGGAUGACCUUGGUGAAAGGCUAGCAUUGCUAAUGGAUUCUAUGGAUAUUAGUGAUGUUGACAGAAGAGUUUUAGAAAACUUUUUGCAACAAUAACAAAUGAGUCCUUUUUCUACGUUCUAGGCCCCUAUGACCUCCUUGCCUAUUUCUAUGUCUCCUCUUUCUUGUUCCCACCUAUUUAGAUUGUAAUCUAAUAGGGGCUCCAACUAGCUUGUACUAAAAUAAGUUGUGUAAUGAUAAAGAAUAAAACUUCUUAAAA